rnacentral:misc_RNA from 1 species
CGGCCACACAACGAUGCCGCUAUCAAUUCUGGAUAUUUAUUGCCGUUAGUUAUCAGGUUUCGGAGGUCUGGAUUUUAUUUUAUUUAUUUUAUUUGAGAUUUUAUGUAUUUUAUUAAACAUUCUCGAGCAUGUGAGUGUUAGUGAAGAGAGAAAAAAGGUUGAUCGUCCAUCCGAAAAAUGAUUUGAAAUCUGGAAUAUUCACCGAUACGAACUCAGGAACACGAAAGGCGGGGAAGGAAAAAGAACAAAAUCGCCUAAUAAAGGAAGGAAUAGAGAGGGAUAAAAGAAGACGUAAAACAUGGCCUUCAUCUUUAAAACAAAUAGGACUGGACAAAAUGAAGAUCCGGACGACAGCAUAUACAUGGCUUUGUACGAGUUCACUGCCACGAAGGCCGAUGAACUAGACUUUGUCGAGGGCGAUAAGCUCGUGUUUCUGAACAAGACCGACGGCGGUUGGCUGAAGGCGCGCAAUUUGAGGUCACUGGAGGAGGGCUACGUGCCUAGCAACUUUGUUCAGAAGAGGUCUGAAAAUGUCAGUCACGUAAGUCAAAACGUAGAAGAUGAAGAAGACAAGCCUUUGAUUACGUACGCCGCUAGGUAUGACUACAACGGGACUGAAGCAGGUACCUUGUCCUUCAAGAAAGGAGACAAGAUGGUACUGUUGAGCAAAACCAACGAACACUGGUGGAGAAUGAGGCUCCAGAAAACUUCAAAAAGAAGCAUUUCAGACGUCCUUGAAGGAUACGUGAGGCCAACGUACAUCAGCAAGGUGGAGGAUCCGCAUGAAGAACCCUGGUUUUUUGACAAUAUCUCUCGAGCGGAAGCCAUGAUGCUGCUGCUCUCCGACCUCAACAUGCCCGGAAGUUUUCUUGUGCGCAGAUCAAAAUCGUCAGACGGUUUUUCUCUCUCAGUCUUAACCAAUAGUAGAAGAGUGAAGCACUACCGAAUAACAGAAAAUGAAGAAGGGAACUACUUUGUGACGGAAAACACGGUGUUUAGCAGUUUGAAGGAACUGGUGGAGUAUUACCUGUGUUCUUACAACCCCCCAGGUCGCCUUGGGGAGCCCUGCAAAGCUAGUGAAGGCUCGUUGUCCAAGAAGCACCUUCCGGGCGCUCAAGCCGUCUCUCACAGCGAAGACGACACGACGGAAUGGGAGAUCGACCGCAACAGCCUCACCUUUACGGCCGUGCUUGGCAAGGGUCAGUUCGGGAAAGUACAGCAAGCGCAAUGGAAGAACAAGGUUGACGUCGCGGUCAAAUCAAUAACAUCGGAAGGUGCUGCAGAGAAAAAGGAAUUUGAACGCGAGGUCAAAGUCAUGCAGCGCCUGAGGCAUCCGCUGCUGGUGAAACUCUACGGGGUUUGCACGACUCCUUUGGAUAAGCCUCUCCUUAUCGUCUCAGAACUCGUGACAGGCGGCUCCCUUCUCAUUCAUCUCAGAAAUAAGAAAGAAGAACCAGCACACCAUGAAGGAGCUGUUGCACAUAGGAGCGAAGGUGGCGUCCGGGAUGGCCUACCUCGAGUCGGAGCAGGUCGUGCACCGGGACCUGGCGGCGAGGAACGUCCUGGUGGCCAGCGACGGCAAGGUCGUCAAGAUCGCCGACUUCGGACUCUCCCGCAUCCUGCAGGACGGCGUGUACAGAAGAAGGUCGGAUUAUAAGAUACCCAUGAAGUGGACCGCUCCCGAGGCAUUUGACCAGGGCCAUUAUACCUGCAAGUCGGACGUCUGGUCUUACGGAAUCCUGCUGCAUGAACUGAUUACACAUGGGAACCAGCCUUACCCAGAAUUGAAUAACAAGGAAGCUAUCUUCCAAGUGUGCAAUGGCCACCGCAUGGGGCAAGCUAGAGAAUGCCCCGAUAACCUCUACCAAGUCAUGUGCAGAUGCUGGCAAGAAGAUCCGGCCGAAAGACCAUCUU